GUGAAUCAUCGAAUUUUUGAACGCAAAUUGCACUUUCUGGUAUUCCGGAAAGUAUGCCUGUUUGAGGGUCAGUUAAAUCAAAAUCGGUGUUGUUGCUGCAUUUUGUGGUGAUGCGUCGGAAUUGGGUCGAAUUACCUUAGGUUAAGUGAAUUAAAAUUGUGCAUGUUUUUCGAGCGUAUUUAAAUUGCUUACGUACGUUUGAGAUAGAGAUGAGUUUAUUAGGUUCGAUCAUACUCAUGAUCCGCGCCUAUAAUUUUUUCAUUAAAUGACCUCAAAU
rnacentral:misc_RNA from 1 species